rnacentral:rRNA from 1 species
UCAAGCUAAAAAGGGCGCAAGGUGAAUGCCUUGGCACUGGGAGCCGAUGAAAGACGUGGUAAGCUGCGAAAAGCUUCGGGGAGGAGCAAACAUCCAUUGAUCCGGAGAUAUCUGAAUGGGGCAACCCAAUGGAGUUCAUACUCCAUUAUCCAAUACUGAAUCCAUAGGUAUUGGAAGGGAACCGCCUGAACUGAAACAUCUAAGUAGGGCGAGGAAGAGACAUCAAACGAGAUUCCGUAAGUAGUGGCGAGCGAACGCGGAAGAGGGCAAACCGGAAGUAGAAAUACUUCCGGGGUACGGACCGCAUUUAGGACUUGAGUUGUUAACCGAACGGCAUGGGAAGGCCGGUCAGAGAGUGUGAGAACCACGUAGGUGAAAACGACAAGAGCUGAGCGAGUUCCAGAGUACGGCCAGACACGUGAAACCUGGUCGGAAUAUGGGGGGACCACCCUCCAACCCUAAAUACUACCCAGUGACCGAUAGCGUAUAGUACUGUGAAGGAAAGGUGAAAAGCACCCCGGGAGGGGAGUGAAAAAGAACCUGAAACCCUGUGCCUACAAGCACCUAGAGCACGUCAAUGUGUGAUAGGGUACUUUUUGUAGAACGGUCCGGCGAGCGAUUGUAUGCAGCAAGGUUAAGGACUUAAGGUCUGGAGCCGAAGCGAAAGCGAGUUUGAAAAGGGCGUUAAGUUGCAUACAAUGGGCCCGAAACCGGGUGACCUACCCAUGGUCAGGUUGAAGUGGAAGUAAAAUUCCAUGGAGGACCGAACCGACCUCCGUUGAAAAGGCGGCGGAUGAACUGUGGGUAGCGGAGAAAUUCCAAUCGAACCCGGAGAUAGCUGGUUCUCCCCGAAAUAGUUUUAGGACUAGCCUCAAGUUAGAUACCUGGAGGUAAAGCACUGAAUAGCCUAGCGGCCGAGAGGUUAGCGAAGCUUAUCAAACUCAGAAUGCCAGAGUAUUGAUGCUUGGGAGUCAGACAGUGUCAGAUAAAUGUCAUUGUCAAAAGGGAAACAGCCCAGAUCUACAGCUAAGGUCCCAAAGUCAGGUUAAGUGGAAAACGAUGUGAAGAUACGUAGACAACCAGGAUGUUGGCUCAGAAGCAGCCACACAUUCAAAGAGUGCGUAAUAGCUCACUGGUCGAGCGUCUUUGCGCGGAGAAUUUAACGGGGCUAAACCUGACACCGAAGCUUAGGCAAUACAGCAAUGUAUUGGGUAGGGGAGCGUUGUAUACGCGGUGAAACAGUAGCGCAAGCGGCUGUGGAGUGUAUAGAAGUGAGAAUGCCGGAAUGAGUAGCGCGAAUGCAGUGAGAAUCUGCAUGGCCGAAAGCCUCAGGUUUCUGGAGGAAGGUUCGUCCGCUCCAGGUUAGUCGGGAGCUAAGGUGAGGCCUAACGGCGUAGCCGAUGCACAGACGGUAGAGAUUCCGUCACCACCAAAAGAGUUAAGCACAGGGACACAUUUGAAGUCUCGGAGCCGGGUGUUGGUUCCGGUAGCGAUCGAGGGAAGUUAGUACCGAAGUCCGGGAUGGAAGAUGGCGAGAAAAGCUGUGUGUAUUUCUGCGGUGCCCGUACCGCAAACCGACACAGGUAGGUAGGAAGAAGAUUCUAAGGCCAACGGGAGAAGGGUUGUUAAGGAACUCGGCAAAUUGACCCCGUAACUUCGGGAGAAGGGGUGCUCCAGAGAUGGAGCCGCAGAGAAUCGGCCCAAGCAACUGUUUACCAAAAACACAGGUUUGUGCUAAAUCGAAAGAUGACGUAUACGAGCUGACGCCUGCCCGGUGCUGGAAGGUUAAGAGGAGAUGUGCAAGCAUUGAAUCGAAGCCCCAGUGAACGGCGGCCGUAACUAUAACGGUCCUAAGGUAGCGAAAUUCCUUGUCAGGUAAGUUCUGACCCGCAUGAAAGGCGUAAUGAUUUGGGCACUGUCUCAACAGCCCGCCCGGCGAAAUUGUAGUACCGGUGAAGAUGCCGGUUACCCGCGACAAGACGGAAAGACCCCAUGGAGCUUUACUGUAGCCUAAUAUUGGGUUUCGAUGUUGCAUGCACAGGAUAGAUGGGACACAGGGAAACAAGUGCUUUGGCAUUUGUGGAGUGGCCGUUGGGAUACCAUCCUUGCGAUAUUGGAAUUCUAACCUGCGCCUUUGAAUCAAGGCGGGGGACAUUGUUAGGUGGGCAGUUUGACUGGGGCGGUCGCCUCCUAAAGAGUAACGGAGGCGUUCAAAGGUUCCCUCAGAAUGGUUGGAAAUCAUUCAAAGAGCAUAAAGGUAUAAAGGGAGCUUGACUGCAAGACCUACAAGUCAAGCAGGUGCGAAAGCAGGACUUAGUGAUCAGGCGAUUCAGAAUGGAAUGGUCGUCGCUUAACGGAUAAAAGUUACCCCGGGGAUAACAGGCUGAUACCACCCAAUAGUUCACAUAGACGGUGGUGUUUGGCACCUCGAUGUCGGCUCGUCAUAUCCUGGAGGUGGAGUCGCUUCCAAGGGUUGGGCUGUUCGCCCAUUAAAAUGGCACGCGAGCUGGGUUCAGAACGUCGUGAGACAGUUCGGUCCCUAUCCGUCGUGGGCGCAGGAAAAUUGAGGAGAGCUAUCCUUAGUACGAGAGGACCGGGAUGGACCUACCUCUGGUGUAUCUGUUGUCACGCCAGUGGCAGUGCAGAGUAGCUAUGUAGGGAAGGGAUAAACGCUGAAAGCAUCUAAGCGUGAAGCCCUCUCCAAGAUGAGUUUUCCCAUUGUUUAACAAGUAAAAUCCCAGAAAGACUAACUGGUAGAUAGGCUAGAAGUGGAAGUGUAGUGAUACAUUGAGCGGACUAGUACUAAUAGAUUGAGGAUUUAAUCC